GCCGGCGAGACCCCGGAGCGCCGACAGCGCGUCAGACAGCAGCGAGAGGGGGGAAAAUACCACACACACACACAAAAAGGAAUAAUAAAGGAAAGAGAUCCUUUAGAGCAAACCAAGGAUGAGAACUGAAAAGAAAUUGGCUGAAGUGUUCUGUGGGACUUUAAAGAAAUAUAUUCAUAAAUCUGUUCAGAACUUCUGAAAGCUUUCAAAAGUUUUGUGAUCGUGCAAAAAAUAAAUGGCAAAAAAAUUAUCCUUAAGAGACUUGACAACUGAAAAUACAUGUUCAUAGUCAAGGAACUAAACCAUCCAACAAAUUGGAGAGCAGUAAAGGAAGCUCUUCCCUCUGUUCAGCAAAGCUGUGAUGAAUUGACUGAGUUGUCACUAUUUUACACAUCCUAUGCUUUAUGUGACAUUAAUUAGUUAUUCCAGUGAGCAGAAGUCUACUCAAGAAAUCACCAGCACAGCAGACCCUAACUAGCAUCCCUGUUCACUCUAGAAAGCUUUAAUUUUCUAGCACCAUGUGGAUGCAGACAGCACACACAACUACACCCCUGAUUACCGAGGAGAUUUAAGGCAAAACUGAUGAAACACAGACAGAUUUACAUUGUCCAUGCAUAACAUGCAGCUCAGACUUACCUGCUCUUUUCUAAACCACUGUCUCCUAGCUUUAUUUUAAAAUCACAAACAAAUUAUUACUAAAUAAAUGUAUUUUUCCUUCCUCUAUGUGAAACAUUAUCCCUAACAUAAAAUCAAAUAUCUGGUAGUUUCUUUUUUUAUUCACAGACUGCUCCUUACAAAUUUAAGUGAUAGGGCAGUUUGAAGGCCUUCCCUUGGUAUUUUGGCCACAUGUCCUAAAACAGAACAAACUUGAAAUAAUGCUUAUUUUUCUAUCUGUUUAUAGAUGCCUCUGGUUUUGCCUCAGAAACAGAAAUGUCUCUUGUCAUAUCUGAAAUAUACAAAUUGGGAAACAUUCCAUCUCUUAGUUUUUCUAACGAAUUAGCAUCUUUAAAAAGGCUUCUGCUGGAGGAGAACUUCCUAGGACGUAAUUUGAAUGGUUAGCAGCACAUUUGAUCUACUAGAAAUAAUUAUAUAAAACAUAUUUGAAUUAAAACAGAUUUUUGACAUUUCUGUUCAAAUCCAAUUUUCUGUGUAUUCCCUGAAAACUGAACACUUAAAAGUACUGGGAUAUAAAUCAGUCAUUGAGGAAAGUCCUGCCCUGCCAUAAAGGUUUGAGAGAGAACUGAGAUUUCAAUCAGUUAUUAAGAAGAAUGGUAUAAUGAUAUUACUCCAGCAGCCAUGAUCAGAGCAAUAAAUAUUUACAGCUAUCAAGAGUAAGAAAUAUGGAAAGCUUUGUAGGGACAGGAGGAAAGGCUGGAGACACCAGGCGGGAAAGGGAGAAAGAAGGUCCUGAAAUCAGACUGCCAAGCAAUAUGAAAGGGCAGAACAGCAAUGGGGAGCACAAAGGGGCUGCUGGGAUCUGAGUACAACAUUUAUGUAGGUGUAGGAAGAAAAUGUUUCAGAACAGAAAGAGAUAAUAUUUAAUUUUUUAAUCCCCGCAGGAAUUUACGUUCUGAGGUAAAUUUAUUUUGCCUAAGGCCUGCAAGCCUUGCUUUAUGCAACAAGCAGUGAAAAUUUUAUUCAUAUCAAUGAAGUUAAUAGAACCAUUCCAACACUGACACUUUAGGAAAUUGAAAGAGGAAAUAAAGUUAGGAGCAUCCACUUCAAUUUGUGUCCGUGAUCCUCUGUGCUUGCCCUGCCAAUAAGCACAUUUAGUCACUUGAAGGGAAUCUUAUUACCAUACUGUCUCUCCCAGCAAUGUAUUUUGAGUACAUUCCUAUGAAAAGGACAGGAUGGCACACAGCUGGAGAUGUAGGAAUGUCAGUUGUCAGCCAUGAGAUGGGACAGCUCAAAGUCUACCCUACCUCUACUGUUAGGGAAAUGUUAUUAAUUUAAUGAAGAUUUCAAUGUAUCCAAUGGCUAUAUAUCCUUGAUCAUCAUUCCACAAGGGGAAGAAAACAGAUGGUUUCAUCCCAAGUUAAUGACGGUAUUUUAACUCACUUCUCCCUUCCUUUAUGCUGAAGGUAUAAGAAGUGUGAGGAGAACAUUCUGCUCCUGGAUUCACACUUCAGGUACACACUCUGCACUGGACUUCCUGCUCUUCUUUCACAAUUACUUACCUGCAAAUUUGAAGCUCUAUCAUUCACUGUACAUUCAAUAUAUACCAAAUAAAAGCAUAUCAACUUCA